GAAUUAGUACGCUGGUCAUACCUCCGGUAUGUACUGGUAUCACUGAUUCCUCCCUUCUGACGAACCAUCAUGCCAUUCAUUUGGUGUGGUGGGAAAUCAGGACUGUUACUUUGAAAAAUUAGAGUGUUUAAAGCAGGCUCACGCUUGAAUACAUUAGCAUGGAAUAAUGAAAUAGGACGUUGACCCUAUUUUGUUGGUUUCUAGGAUUGACGUAAUGAUU
rnacentral:rRNA from 1 species